GAAAAAGAAAAAUGUUUGUUUCAUCUUUUCAUAAUUCUAAAAAAUGUAUAACAAGUUUCAGGAAAUCUUGACGUGAAACAAUCCAGUCCUCGUAGUGUAAGCGUUUAUAUGUUAUAUGUUGGGUCAGUUUAAUAAAGUUGAGGUUCACUGCUCUUGGCUUACGACGGUGCUGGAAAGCCAGCAACGUGGAAGAGACUAUGGUAUCGCAUUCUAAUCCUGUUAUCACCAAAUGGGGUCUAUGCAUCCCUUGUUUAUUUACUAAAUGAUGUGCCAAAAAUUAUAGGGAGCUUCAGAUCGUCAGCACGAGUGAAAAAGUUCCAGAAAUGUUAGUGAACGGUAACAGAGUGUGAAAGUCCAAGAGCACAUUAUGUUGAAAUGUUGGUUAAGUAAGAAUGAUGCUUACAAAUAAGAUGAUAAAAGUUCAAGGGCAUAAAAUUCCAACAUCUGUUAAAUGCGAAAUAUUUCACUGAUUAAGUAUUUCCUUGUUCCACAUAUAACAACAAACGCUCCAAAUUUCCUCAACAUCUGAACCAGACUCGAACGCGUUCGAAUACCCAAGGUAUCGUACGAGUUUGAAGUAUCCUGUGUGUCUUGGCAAAAACCACAUUUCUCAUGGAACCCCACGAGCGAAAUCUAUCGGAUUAAAGUCUGGUGACCUUGGUGGCCAUGGUACCAGUCUCGUUACCACAACCGGACCAACGUCUGCGAUAAUACCUGACUAACCACUUCCUACAGCCAGACUGGAAUGUCCAUCGUGUAAAACCCUCAUCCCUGGAUCUGCUAUUAUUUCGGUACAGACGUCUAUGGAGAAUGGUUGUUACCAGGUCUUGAAAUACGUAGAGUGAUCUCCGCCUACGUAAGUCAGUUGUGGUAAAUCAUGCCACCAUCUGUUAAACUACACUGAUCUAUCACUUGGAGUGUUUUUAUGAUGACUGGAUCCUCGACAAAUUUAAGCAGCCUUUGGCACACGAAAUUUCGGUCAUUUGUGUCAGCUGAUACAAGUGCCUGACACACUGUGUUACUCCCAGGCUUACAGAUACGUCUCUGGUACUUACGCGGACUGUCUCAGAACUGUUAACAUCGGUAUUUGGUACUCGUUUAUGAAGUACAGAAUGAAAAAAAGUAAACAGAUUACGAUUUGUAAAUGAAUUCGUACACCAUACCGACUCAACCUACCUAACGUGCUCAAAAUGUUUACAGAAGCAUGUCAUAUUGAUGUCCUGAAGUUCCUAUAUCAUGUAUGGCACAUUAUUUAGAAACAAUCUGUACAUAUACUAGUUUUCCUUCGAAAAACUAAAUGAAUUUACAAACUACACAGUAAACUAUUAUUCCUAUAUGUGCGUGUGGAUUUCGAAGUAAUCGUAGACGUUGCAUUCUUCACCAGGUACCAUUAAGACAAUCGAAUAAAUCAAAUGAAGUGGGCGGGGCACGUAGAACACAUGGGGGAGAUGAGAAAUACGUACAAAAUUUUAAUCCAGAAGUCCGAAGGGAAGAGACCACUCGGAAGACAUAGUCGUAGAUGGUAAAUUAUAUUGAAGUAUAUUUUAGUUAGUGCUGAAUUCGUGUGCCUCAGAACAGAAACCAGUGAAGAAGGCGGUGACAUUUUGACGAACUUGUUUGGUUUGUGUGUACGAAAACUGAUUCGUCACUCCGAGAAAGGGACAGAGAAAAUUAAGAAGACAAAGCACUACAUAGAGUGCUUUUACUUGGAUGUGAAUGAACAGGGAGAUUGGGAGAGAAAAUAUCUCCUACGGAAUGAAAUGUCUCUUUCCCCAAGAAAUAUAUUUUCCGUAGCCACUGCACAACUCGACUGCUUCUCAGAUAGUUCUCAACUCUCCCUCCAGUUGCGUUGUAGUCGCGGUAGUGUUUUCCACGUGAAACUGCGCUGUAUGACUGACUGACAACACGUGUUUUGUUCAGGUGCAGUGGAGUGAGAAGUGAUGGUAUUUUUGGUGAAAGUGGAGUUUCAGUUUCGCCGUUGCCUUGAGGUGCAGCCAGCCAAACGUUUAGGUCCGCACGUAAUCCAUCAGAACCACAUUUAUUCGCCGCCAUCAAGAAUAUCGACAUGGAGCCCUGCGAACUUCUGAGGUAUUACCACGAUACUUUGGUCUUUGCUGCUGGAUACCACAUCAUACGUCAUUAAAAGACCAAAUGAGUAUAUUUUUCUCAUCG